rnacentral:tRNA from 1 species
UAAUAAUUAGUUUAAAGGCAACAACGCAAUUUGACUGCGAAGGAAGUAGUGCGAUUCUACUAUUAUUAA